GCCCAGGUGGUGAAAUUGGCAGACACACCAUCUUGAGGGGGUGGCGCCCUACGGGCGUGCGGGUUCGAAUCCCGCCCUGGGCA
rnacentral:tRNA from 1 species